UGUCUCAGUUCGGAUUGGAGUCUGCAACCCGACUCCAUGAAGCUGGAUUCGCUAGUAAUCGCGCAUCAGCCACGGCGCGGUGAAUACGUUCCCGGGCCUUGUACACACCGCCCGUCACACCAUGAGAGCCGGGAACACCCGAAGUCCGUAGUCUAACCAUUAAGGAGGACGCGGCCGAAGGUGGGUUUGGUAAUUGGGGUGAAGUCGUAACAAGGUACC
rnacentral:rRNA from 1 species